rnacentral:lncRNA from 1 species
CUCGAUGUCCACGAGCUUGGUGAUGAAGUCCUUCAGCUGCGCCACGCCCUGGCGCACGGUGGGCUGCAGCGGCUCCAUCCAAGCCUCCUUGGCCCUGGAAGCCGGCGUGUCCAUGUUGCCCACGUUCUGGACUGCCUGGAGGUGACAGCAGGAAGGACCAGGUUUAACUGACGCUGCUGCACUGGAUACCCCACCCCGGUGCCGGGCACAUAGGUGCAGCCUGAGAGUAAGCAGACCCGGGUUGGAAGGUCCCGCGAUUCACCACCGACAGGAUGGGCGGCCUUGGCAACCCCCGACCCCUCGCAGGCCUGUUCCCUUAUCCAUGAGAUGGAGCUCGGACAAGGUGGCCACAGGAAGGCUUUGCAAACUGUGAAGUGCAGUGCCUACGUGGGCGUGCCAGUGGCCUCGCCGGAGCCGGUAGGGAACACUCUGCAGUCCAGGCCAGGGCCCCGGUAGGACACCCAGCUGUGCAUCCCGCCCGUGGCCGCAAGGCCCGCACCUUAGCCAACAGGAGCAGGGUGCGGCUGGUGCGGGCGUCCGCGUGGCGCUCCCGCAGGUGGAAGAGCUUGGGCGACAUGAUGGCGGGGGAGAAGAAGCGCAGGCACAGGAAGCUGGUGACGGCGAUGAACGGUACAUUCUGGAGGGGUGCGGAAGAGCGCGGGCUGGAGUCCCCCAGACCAGGGCUCCUGGCAGCCCCCUCCCCUUAGGCUCUGUCCCUGACCCUCGCUGCGACACAGCCUCCCUGGUCCUCCCCAGCGCUCCCUGGUUCCCCACCGCUCUUCACUCCUCGCCCCAGCCCAGUCCAACCCGGCCCAGCCUAGCCCAGCGGGUGGAG